ACAAUUAAAAAACGGAAAGCGGGGCUUGACGCAGUCGCAUAUUCGAAGCAGCUGGAGUGUCCACAGCAAGGUAUAAAUUGUUGCUUGUUAAUGUACGGGAGAGAGUCGGCGGGACGCGCACAGAGACGUGUGAAGACUAACGUUGGGAUCUAUAAAAGACGUCCAGAUGAUUGGCAGGCGACUUAUACUCGUUGCCGUGGUGAUGGUGAUGGCAUGUACCGUGUAUUCCGACGCCAUUUUGUUCACAGGACCAAGGGCGGGAGAUUCGUACAGUAGCUACAAGAGGGACAAGCCAAGUCUUAGAGAAGCAAGACGAGAAGCCAUCCGUCGGGCCCGCUACGAGAAGCUACAAGACUCUUUAUUCCAAAGUCUAGGCGAAUAACGACCACACAAAAUAAAAACCUAGAUUUCCACAAAUGAAAUUAAAACUAUAUUGGUAAUAAA